CAGUAGCCGCGGGAAUACGUAGGGUGCAAGCGUUAAUCGGAAUUACUGGGCGUAAAGCGUGCGCAGGCGGUUUGUUAAGACAGAUGUGAAAUCCCCGGGCUCAACCUGGGAACUGCAUUUGUGACUGGCAAGCUAGAGUGUGGCAGAGGGGGGUGGAAUUCCGCGUGUAGCAGUGAAAUGCGUAGAUAUGCGGAGGAACACCGAUGGCGAAGGCAGCCCCCUGGGCCAACACUGACGCUCAUGCACGAAAGCGUGGGGAGCAAACAGGAUUAGAUACCCCUGUAGUCCCUGUCUCUUAUAC
rnacentral:rRNA from 1 species